rnacentral:lncRNA from 10 species
UCUGGAAUCCACACACCAUUAGUGACUGCUCUUUCUCCUAGCUUCCCUGAAUUUGUGUGAUUAUCACAUAAUUUAUUUGAGGUGUCCACAGUCAAGCCCACUGUGAGCUUAAUUCAAUGUCUUUAGAAAAGGAUCUGUCUCUGGGAAGAUGGCCUCAGGAGAACAGAAAAUGCCUUAACACCAAAGAGUGUCCUCUUACUCCAUGCUGAUGUUGCCCCUGCUCCAGGCUACAUAUUUGUGUGCAGCAAGAUCUUCAUCAAAAUAAUUUACAGUAGAUUGAAGGCAGAGAAGAUAUGAAAAAUGAAAAUCCAACCAUCUGAAGACAUUGAAAG